UACGGAGGGUGCAACCGUUGCUCGGAAUCAUUGGGCGUAAAGCGCACGUAGGCGGUCCAGCAAGUCGGGUGUGAAAGCCCUCGGCUUAACCGAGGAAGUGCAUUCGAAACUACUGGGCUUGAAUACUGAAGAGGAUCGCGGAAUUCCCGGUGUAGAGGUGAAAUUCGUAGAUAUCGGGAGGAACACCGGUGGCGAAGGCGGCGAUCUGGGUCGAUACUGACGCUGAGGUGCGAAAGCGUGGGGAGCAAACAGG
rnacentral:rRNA from 1 species